rnacentral:lncRNA from 1 species
CAAGAGUUCUAGGCUAACUGGAACAGAGUCUGGGGAGUCUUGGAGCCAGAUACUAAAUACAGCAGGAAGCCACCUGAUGGGAAAGCUGCAGAAGUACACUGAGGAGCUCAUCUUCCGGAGCUAGCUGGUCUGGACAAGCCUGGAUAUAGAUGGUCUCCCUUUGAUCCUUUGAAUGAGAUCGAGGUCUACACAAGUAUGCUUAGCAAGCACGGAGCUGAAGUUUCCAUGCAGGCAUGGAAGGAAUCAGAAUAUCCAGAUGCCAUGGUCUGAAGAGAGAAAAGCCAGAAUGUUGGCUGAGAAUCAUGCUCGAAGAUGGUUUGCAAAACAAUCAGCUAAGCUGUCGGUGAUUUCUAGGUGUCAAAUGCUGCAUCCAACCACUUUCUCAAAUGCCUUCUCUGGCUGCAAAUGGAAGAUUUGAAAUUGGAUCAUUUAAACAGGGACUGACAAAAGAGAUGUGAGACAUGUCCCAAAAGGCAUCCGUGACAAGGCCUGGGGAGAAUGCCCCCUGGAUAAUCUCACUGGCUGCCAAACCUGAGAACUGGAUUCAAUCCUGGGGACCCUUGUGGUUGAAGGAGAAAAACAACUUUCACUAGUUAUUCUCGGACCAACACUGGGGCUCCAUGGGAGUAUCGGAUUUUGAUAGAAGAUGCCUUGAAUAUGAACUGAAUAGAUAGACUGGGAGCCAGAGCAGGAAAAGAGAAGAGACAGAACCAUAGGAAAG